AGAGCUCAGUGUUGAUCAGAGGCUGUCCAGGCCUUUCAGAGCCACUGAACCACCAGCAGCACAAUGAUGAUGUUACUGACUCUACUGCUGACCAUCCUGGAGCUCCUGGUUCAGGGUUCUUCAGGAGACAUCGUCCUGAAUCAGACUCCUAGAGCUCAGUCUGCUGUUCAGGGACAGACCGUCUCCAUCAGAUGUAAAUCUGACAGAAGUAUAGGUGAUGACAUCAACUGGUACCUGCAGAAACCUGGAGGAGCUCCAAAACUCCUGUUUUAUGAUACCACAGAGCGUCAGUCUGGAGUCCCAGAAAGGUUUCGUGCAACAGCACAACAGACUGACUUCACACUGAUAAUCAGUGGAGUUCAGGCUGAGGAUGGAGGAGUUUACUAUUGUCAGCAGCGUAACAGCCUCCCAUUCACACAGUGAUACACAGUCGUACAAAAACCUCCCAUCAGAAGAGGAACUGAUCUGAGUCAACAGACAAACUAUCAUUCCUUGUUAACAGCUGUAGAUGCUGAAGUUAUUCUAGGUUUAG